GGGGCAAGGCUGGUGCGGCCAGCAUCCGCGGUGAUUCAGGCACGGUGAGUCCACAGGGAAGU
rnacentral:rRNA from 1 species